rnacentral:rRNA from 1 species
GACGAACCGUGCGAACGUUGUUCGGAAUCACUGGGCUUAAAGGGCGCGUAGGCGGCUUGCCAAGUCCGGGGUGAAAGCCUCCAGCUUAACUGGAGAAGUGCCUUGGAUACUGGCGAGCUCGAGCGAGGUAGGGGCAGAUGGAACUUCCGGUGGAGCGGUGAAAUGCGUAGAUAUCGUUUGGAACGCCAAUGGUGAAAACAGGUAGCUGGGGGUGUGCUGACACUGAGACACGAAAGCCAGGGGAGCAAACGGG